rnacentral:misc_RNA from 1 species
CCGAGUUAUACAACUCAUCAACCCUGUGAGCAUACCUAUAACGUUGCCUCGGCGGGAACAGACGGCCCCGUAACACGGGCCGCCCCCGCCAGAGGACCCCCUAACUCUGUUUCUAUAAUGUUUCUUCUGAGUAAACAAGCAAAUAAAUUA